rnacentral:ncRNA from 1 species
AUAACAUUGUGCAAAUAAGGUGCUUUAGUUGAACUAACUUUAGCUUAAAAGGGAAGUCCGGUGUAAUACCGGCGCGGUCCCGCCACUGUAACAGAGGAGUCGCUGCUUAGUAACCACUGAUCGUACGGAUCGGGAAGGGGAGCAGAUGGAUUACGAUUCUGGAGCCAGGAGACCUGCCUAUUUUGUCAACACUGA